GAUCAGUACAAAGAUUUGCAAAACCAUGCAAAGGAAAUUGGAAUAGAUUUCAGUGCAUCGGCAAUGGAUGAGAUAAAAUGUACAGCAUAGCCUUCCAUUUGGUAGCAGAAGAGAUGGACGAAGAUGUGGAGCAGAAUCGGACACAAAGGAUGGAAAGGAGGCAGUUACGCAAUGCAACAAACCCGCUUGAGUUGUCCCAAGCUUUGGUAAACAAAGCAGCUUUUCGAAGGUGGCUAUCAGACGGGAAUCGAAAAAGAAUACGACGUUUUUCUUGCUCAAUGUAGCCUCAGCAAAGUGGUUAGCGAAGUUAUACAUAUUUUUGAAACUAAUCUUUGCACAAAAUGGAUCCGUUUUUGCAGAACAGCGGAAGAAAAACGCAAAAUUUCAUUGGCACUUUACCGUAAGCAUGGUAUUCCAAGUGUGAUGGGAUGCAUCGAUGGGACACGUCCGCAUUAUAGCUGCCUCCCAGAAUAAACACUUAUAUUAUAACAGAAAGGGAAAGUACAGCUUAAAUGUCAUGCUGGUGUGUGAUCAUCAUCUACGUAUUCAGUAUGUAGAUGCAUCCCACCCCGGUGCUUGUCACGAUUCCUUCGUUUGGAAUACCAGCGAGCUACGAACUCACCUUGAACGAGAAUAUUUAAGAGACUUGGGCAAUUAUUUUCUGCUUGGUAUAGUAUUUUGGCGAUAUUAGAUAGUACAAAUUAUUUAACUUUUUUUUAAUGGGGGACGCCGGAUAUCCUCUAGAGCCGUGGCUUUUAACCCCGCAUAGAAGUCCACAGGAAGGAUCCGUUGAAAUGAAAUUCAUCGAAGUUCACUCAAAAUGCAGAAAUGUUAUAGAACGUACCAAUGGGGUGCUAAAAAUCGAUGGAGAUGCCUUCUUGGAGCAAGAGAGUUGCAUUACUCCCCAGAAAAGGCAGGAAAAUCAUUGUGUGUUGUGCAUUGCAUAACAUAUGCCUUUUUUUCAGAGUGAAUAGUGUUAUGGAUUUCGACGAGUCACACAAUUCAACUGCCCAAGAAAGUGAGGUGAUAUCUCCUGCUUCAGCCCAAUAUUUGUCUACUGCGCAAAGAAUGAGAAAUAACAUUGGAAAUAACCCACCAUGCAAAACAUGAGAAAUAAGCAACAAUCGCCAAUGGCAGCAAAUUGGCGACUCACCGAUUUAUUGCUGUGGUGACAAAUCGGCAACAUCACUUCGUUCAUGUCAAUUUUGAAUA
rnacentral:misc_RNA from 1 species